GGAGCGCGGCCGGGGCCGGGGCCUUCUCACACCUGCAGGUGCGCGGGCACCUCUUUGAGCCCGGGCUGCGCCCCUGGCACCCCAGCGCUGCUGCUGCCCCAUCUCCCGGUGUCCUGCCGGCGGGAAAGGCCUGCUGCCAGGCAGGCGGCAAAACACGGGCUAAUGGAUUUUGAGUAGGGUGGUAACUUAUUUCCACUGGAUUGUAAUGCUUUAGGGUAACGCCAAAACUUAAACCAGCUUUUAAACGGAUUAAUGUUUUGUUGACCAUGUUUCACAUCUCUCAUGAUUUCACCGCACAGCUGCCAAGCACCAGGUAGCCACUUGCACACUCCCUGAGCUCAGGGAGGCAAUCAGAAGGGUAAAAGCUGAAAAAUUUGUCAGUUGAGAUAAAGACAGUUAAAUAAGGAUACCAAAAGCCUUGCACACAACCAAAGCAAAACAAGGAAUUAUUUCACUGCUUUCCAUGGGCACACAGAUGUUCAGACGUCUCCAGGAGAGCAGGGCCCUAUCAUGUGUGGUGGUGAUUUGAGCAGACAAUCAUCAUCAAUCCUAAUGUCUCACCUUUUCUCCUUCUUUCCCCCAUGUUAUACAUUGGGGGUGUCGCAUGGUCUGGAAAUCCCUUUGGUCACUUUGGGUCACCUGUCCCAGCUGUGUCUCCUUCCAACCUUUCAUGCCCCACCAACUUCAUCACCAGGGUAGAAGUACAAAAAGUUCUGUGUAAGCCUUGCUCAGCAAUAACAAAAAUAUCUUUGUAUUAUCAACACUGUGUUCAACACAAAUUCAAAGCUCAGCCCCAGACCAGUCACUGUGAAGAAAAUUUACUAUCUCAGGCAAACAGCAUAACAACCUGACCAGAUAAAAGGCAGUGUGUACUUCAGCAUGACAUCUGCUUGCUUCUGCUUCAGUCUUGAAAACAAAUACUUAUUUUGGCAGGAACACAUCCCUGGAGAUUGUCUUGUCCAACAAGCUGUGUGUGGUCCAGCAUGAAUGCCCAACAAAGAGGGGCAGACUGUGCAGGAACAGAACAGGUCCAGCAGAACUUGGAAGAACAUGACGUCAGAUAAGGAGUUUGCAGAAAACAGCAAUUUUUCGCCAAAAGCCAGCACCAGCAAGCUGCUGACAGAUGCGUCUCCCGACUCCAAAUGCCCCAUCUGCCUGGAUAGAUUUGACAAUGUCGCAUAUCUAGAUCGCUGCUUGCAUAGGUUCUGCUUCCGCUGCGUCCAAGAAUGGUCAAAAAACAAAGCAGAAUGCCCGCUCUGCAAGCAACCCUUUUUUUCCAUUUUCCAUACGAUUCGUGCUGAAGAUGACUUCAAGGAGUACAUACUCAGCCCUUUGGAAACAAGCUCUUUUGCCAGCCCCGAUGGCCGGAGGUUUCGUUACCGCACUACCUUAACGAGGGAACGCCGCACGCGCGGUUCCCCUUCCCUGAGGAUGCUGUCCCCUCCGGAUAACGGGAUGUUGUUUGAAGGGCUGUCGAGCGAGCCAACGCGACACAGACACAGAGAGAUUCAGCAGAUGAUCAGGAGGCUGGCCUCAAGGAGAAAGGCUAGCGCGGAGGGCAGAUCUCUGCGGCAGAUUCAGGAGGAGGACAUGAUCACCUUCCUCAGGGCUCUGUACUGCACCGGCGUGCGCAUCCGCAGCAUUCAGGACGGCGGGCGAUACCGAGAGAUUUCGGCAGAGUUCUUCCGCCGCAACCCUGCUUGCCUUCACCGCUUGGUUCCUUGGUUGAAGCGAGAACUUACAGUCCUGUUUGGUGCCCACGGGUCUCUGAUCAAUAUUGUGCAGCACAUAAUCAUGAGUAACGUGACUAGAUACGAUCUGGAAAGUCAGGCUUUUGCUGAUGAUUUAAAGCCGUUUCUGCUGAAUCGGACAGAACACUUCCUGCACGAAUUCAUCAGUUUUGCUCGCUGUCCUUUUAACUUAGAAGCGUACGAUCAACACGCCAAUUAUGACUGUCCUGCGCCAUCAUAUGAGGAAGGAAGCCACUCAGACUCAUCAAUUAUUACCAUAUCUCCAGAUGUGGUGUACCCGCAAGGGCCAGAGAGUAGUUUGUCUAUUCCUGGUCUUGGUCAGGCCCCGUGGGAUGAUGAAACUCCAGGGCCUUCCUAUUCCAUUUCAGAGGAGGUUCGUGCAACCAUAGCUUCUCCUCUGGAGUCAUCGGAAAGUUCUGAUGAGGACUCUGCCUCAGGGAGCCGAAGAGCCAAGCUGCAGACGGAGUUACAGGCUAAUGCAGACUCAAACGACAGCGGCUCUUCCUCAGACAAUUGCGUCAUUGUCGGGUAUGUUAAGCCCUUAGCUGAGAGGACACCAGAAGUGGUUGAGCUGUCCUCUGACUCUGAGGAGUCCAUCAAGGAAGAGAAAAGGGAAGAUGUCAAGAAACAGCGACCAGUCCAGUGUCACAGCUGGAGUGACAGUGAACCAAGCAGGAGCUUCUCACCACAUUCCCCAACAUAUAGGGAGGAUGUAGGAAGUUGUAGAAGCUGCUUAUCUCCUGCAGUCGAGAAGAUGGAAUCAAAAGAGGAUGAGAAGAACAAAUGUAAAAGAAAAGAUCUGCCUCCACAGGACUUGAGUUGGAGCCCCUCUCCAGGGAGUGACGCAGUUUGCUCCCCUUGGAAUCAGAGAUUGUCUAAAAAGGGGAAGUCUAGAAGCCCACAGUCUUGUUCACGGGACAGUCGAGGCAGUCAUGGCCAUCGGUCUAGAAGGGAGCACCAUAGCAAAAACCAACUUAAACGGAAACGAUCGAAAAGCAGAGAUAGUAGCAAACAUAGGAGCAGAAGAAGCAACACAAGAUCAAGGGCUCAUGACACCAGGUCCUCUCUGAAGAGCCAGAGUGGUGAGAGCACUCCAUCCAGAGAAGUGAGCAGAUCACGUUCACGCAGCAAAGGCCGCAGUAAAAGGAGAUCAAGAAGUAGAGACAGUGAUCGCUAUUAUGUAAGAGACAGUUAUCAAAGUAGACACCAGUGGGGUUCUGCUUUCUGUAGUCGAAAGGUAUUUGGAGACAGCUAUGAAUCCUCCAGUAGAAGGAGGACCCGGUCUAACACUCUUUAUUCACGGCAAUCUGCUAGUCCAGAAUACAGGAUACGAUCAUUUAUUGAGAGGACAGAUCUGCAUAGCCAGAGGGGACUCCAUGAGAGACACUUUUACUGUUAUGAAAGAUGCAGAUCAAGGAGUCGGUCAAGCAACAGAUCAAGGACUCCUCCUGGAGGAGCUGACAGAAUGAAAAGUGAGAAGCCUGGUGGAAAAAGGAAGUACAAAACUCGCCACCUGGAGAAUGCAUUCAUGGAAAGCACAAGUCUAGAAAGAGAAAAUGAGUCUAAGAAAACUUCGUCAAAAUUUGGUGACUGCUGCAAAAAUGAAGAUAGCCUGUCAGACAAUCGUGCAAGCAGUGAGACAAAGCGUAAGAAAAGGAAGAAGAAAAUGAGGAGUCCAAGUGUGGAGAUAGUCUAUGAAGGAAAAGCAACAGACACAACGAGGCAUCUUAAAAAGAAAAAGAAAAAGCAUAAGAAGAAACACCGGAAACAUCACACGAGUAACUCAGUACCUUCUUCUCCAGUGGUGAUUACAAUUGAUAGUGAUAGUAGCAAGGAACCAGAAGGUACCGAAUGGGACAGCAGUAUUACGUGGACAGGCACAACUCAAAUAAAUGAGAGGGAAAAUGAGUCUCCAUCUCCUGUGUUGAUGAGGAGAGUAUGUGAGGAAACUGGAGGAGUAGACAAAAAGUAUGGUAACCCUGCCACAAGGGAAAACUUAGAUGAUGGAGAUAGAAAUGCUGAUGUGAAACUUCAAGAAACAGCAGCUGAUCAGAGUGUUACCACAGUGAAUGCCAGCAGUAACACCCUUCACACAGAAACUGUAACCAGUUAUGUUCAGGAAGCACCAGCAGCGCCUUCCAGUCAACCGCCUUCCCCCAGGACUUCCUUCCUAGAGUGUCCAGAGGGAGAGCCAUUGAUACUGAGACUGCCAAAGAGACUUGUCAGCAGAUCCUCGUGGUUUGAUUUCCCAGAAGAAAAAAUGUAGUAGGCUUUCCUUGGAACACUUGUUCAAACUGUGAAUUUAACAACUUUCUUUUUCCCCUUGAAAACUAAAAUGUCUGAUAGGGUUUCUGUCCGUUAAAAAGAUGUCUAGGAAAUGUAUAAAACUUUUGAAUGUGUAUGCACUUUCAAGUCAAAGAAGAUAGAAUAUUGCUAGUCUGUAAUUCUAAAAGUUUGUUAGAGGACUGUUUGGGCGUUUUAAUUUCAUAAAGCCAUCCACAGAGUAUUUCAAAGUUUUGUGUAAAUCAAACGACAGAAAAGGAGCACAAAACAAGAGCCUGGAAAUGCAUUUUAUGGGGAUUACUUCUUAGACCAGGAAAAUGUUGUUUAGUUCAUAAAAAGUGAUUCAGUCUGAAUUCCAGCUUCAUUUCAAUCUCUGGUUUAAGCUGAUGUCUGCUGAAAAGCAGUCAGUGAUUUCUACAGAAAUUCUCACAUGACUUUGAGUAAUUUUAAGGUGUGCAGUGCUUCUGAAACAGAUUGCUCCAGCUGCCAGGAAACCUGUUCCUGUAUGUGCUCCUAAGCACAGGCUUCAGCUCCUGACAGGAGCCUGUUCCUGUGUGAGAUCUCCAUGGGCUGCAGCUUCCAUCAGGGCAUCUCCACCUGCUCCACAGUGGGGGUUUUCCACAGCCUGCAGAGACCUAUUGAUUGCUACAGGGCAGUGAUGGAAGACAGUGAACAGUCAAAAAACAGUCUUGUGCAGGAAACAACCAGGACCACAAUGAAGAUUGUGACCACAGAACAAGUUGCUGUCACAGAAUACCCCUACCAUAUCCCACAGGUCAAACAGGUGAAUAAUGAUCUCAUCUUCUACACAGCACUGAGCAGAUGUGCUGAAAUAGUAUGCAGCAUAUUAUCUGUGUUGUAACUACAGCUGCCAGAGAUAGUUUCUUAUAAGAAUGCCUUGUUGUCACCAAUUAGAGAGCAUAAUGAUCAGUUCCAGUUCCAUCAUAACUGAAGCUCCAAAAAAAAAAUAUUUUAUCAAUGGUUAUCUGCAUCUCUACAAAAUGGCUAAGAGCCAUAGAGCGGGCAUUUUUGCUCUGCUCUUUCUUCUCCUCUUUAUUAAUCCUUUCCUCCUUUUAGCAUGUUUUCCAUUUGUUUUGCAGGUUCCCCAAAUAUCUCAGAUAUUUGAUCAGAUAGGGCAAUAUGGGCAGAGUAUGAAUCUUGUGAAGUUAAUGUCAGGGCCCUUAGGACAUUGCAAUCCAGCCUUCUCCCCUGUUCUUGUCUGUCUACACUGAUGUCCAGCUCUGACAUGGUGCAGCCAUUAGCCUGGGGUUGUGGUGUUGGGGUGCCAGGAGCUCCCCAUCACUUGGGGGCUGUGCAUCAGCUCAGCACCACUAGUUUGUUCUUGUGCCCAGACUCCCAGCUCCUCAGCCAAGCAGCCAGCUCUUGGCACUUGCCAGUAUUUGGUGGAGGUGGAAACUGGUUCAUCUUCCAGUUACCUUAGCUUUUUGCUGCAUGCCUUGAAUCUGGUUGCAUGCUGCUCUGCUUUCAGGUCCUGAAAUAUUACAUUGCCAGUACCACUUAACAGUGAUCUAACAGGAGAAUCUAGAAAAUUGUCAGAAGAACAGCUUUGUGUCAGCCCUGCCAUGGUUUCAUGUUGACUAAAAAGGGCAGGGAAGUAAAUGUCUCUGCAAUGGUGAAGUUUCCUGCACAGUUUUCCUUCCCUGUUUUUCCAUGGUCUUUCUUACAUUAACUUAAAUUUGUCCGUGCUAUGGCUUAUUCACUUCUGAAUGUACUUUUGCUCCAUCUUCUCCGGCAGUUUGUUUUCCUUUUAUUUAUAUUUAAGUACACAGAUGUAUAAGAAGUCCAGCUUAAUUGCUCUGUAACUGUCAAGUUCUCUAUGUGCUUAAAAGGAGGGAGAGGAACUUGUUAUAUGGGCAGAUAGUAACAGGACAAGGGGCAAUGGUUUUAACUGAGAGAGGGCUGCUUAAUUUAGAUAUUAGGAAGAAAUUCUUUACUCAGAGGAUGGUGAGGCACUGUAACAGGUUGCCCAAAGAAUCUGUGGAUACAGCAUCCCGGAAAGUGGUUAAGGCCAGGUUAGAUGGGGCCCUGAACAACCUGAUCUAGUGAAUGCCGUCUCUGCCCAUGUCAGGGGCAUUGGAAGCAGAUGAUCUUCAAGCACAAACCAUUCUAUGAAACUGAAGGUGCAGAGUGAAGUUGAGAAUAAGCAGAGUAAAAAUUAACCAAACUGGUUAUAUUUUCUUUUUCAUAAUAGAAUCCAAAGUGAUAUCUUUUGAGAUUAAACUUUGCUAAUAUCUGUGGGCAUUUGCUUUGCACAAGCUGUUUUUUGUAAGGGACUAAAAAAAUAGAAUUUCCAGUCUUUUUUCUAAAGACAUCUUUAUUUAUAAUCCAAAUUGGAUCUCUGAUUAAUAGAAUUUCUCAAGAAAUAUGCUAUUUUCAUGCAUCUAUAUACACUGGAAAUAUUGUAGAGCUGAAGAAAUUAGCUUUUUUUCAGGAGAAGAGAGACAAAUCAGGAUAGAGUAAGUAAUUUUUCAGCCAUUUGUCUUCUGAAAACACAGUACUAGCAUGCAUGCCUUGAGUUGAACCCCACAGCUUCAUACCUUCUAGAGAUGAAAAUAAGAAAGCAUGGACAAAAUUUGCCCAAUGUCUUCUAUCUGAUUCUGACUCUAUACAUUACUAUUGUUAUGUUUGCCCAAUUAUCCAAUCACAAAUAAAAGGACAAACAAAAUUAAAUAUAACAAUAAUUUUAAUAAAAUUUAAAUGAAAUAGUUACAUUCAAUAAAUUGGCAGUAUAAUUUGGUUAUAAUAAAAUAUAUUUUGGUUCGGGUAAUGACGUAUAAGCAAAAUUACCGCGGGGUACGGAGUGCGAGGGCCUUGGGACCCCUGCCACCUCACGUACAAGCUUGCCAAGC